AUUCGUGAGAUGGGCGGAAGGACAGUAGUGUUAGCUCGUCCAAUUGUCAGUCUGCCGUGGCCGGAGUGAGAGACAAGAAGGCUGGGCUUGAUUGGUAUGGGCUGGGAUGGGCUGGCUGGCGGUGCUGUCCUCAUGCUGCUCAGUAUUAGGCGAAGCGUUUUCUUCACAUGGACUCAUCAAUCAAUCACGCAUGAGACGGUGGAGAGAAACACGCUGCCCAGCCUCUUGGAAUACUAACACCAGAAGUCCGACGCUAAGCUGGUCAUAAACAUCUUUCAAAUAAUUACCAUCGCGUUUUGAAUCUAAGAGGGAUGCCUCACACUUACGAGAGUCAAUUGUGUGAUGACAGCUCGCCAAACUCAGUGACCACAGCAAAUCCUCCACUCAGACUACCUUUCUGUAGUAACUCGAUGUGUCUGAAAAUGCAGGAGCAGUCAGACUUUACCACAAUAUUGCCAUGUACGGUCUUUCCGGAGCUUGUCCAUAGAUGACAGUGAGUCACCGUUGUUGCUGAAUUUCUAAAUAUAUCAUUAAGUAAUACAUUCUUGCUGGAAAAUAUAUCACUGUCUUAGAUACUUUGACCGAUACUACUUGUUAACAUGUAAAUAACUAAAUAUAAAAAAAGAAGAAAACUUAUGUACAAGCAUGUGACUUUAACUGUAACAUUCAAUUCACCGCAAUAUUCAACAGCUGACUUUUGUCUGUUUGGAGGCAGAAGACAGUAAAACAAACUGAUGUCUAAAGAAGGUAUUUUCUAAUAUUUGGCUAGUAAGAGUAUGUUUAACAUGCAUAUUCAUUAUCAUAACCAUCUAAUUCAGUUUCCAUUUGGGUGAAGCGUAAUGACAACAAACUGCGGUAUAAAAUCCACGCCGAAAAUAGCAUUCAAUAAAUACCGUUUAAUAUACAUACAAGGAACGAAUUUGUAAACUAUUUGGCCUCUCACAAGGACUUUAAUAAAGGACACAGCG